rnacentral:tRNA from 2 species
UUAAUUGAAACCAAAAAGAGGUUUAUUACUGUUAAUAAUAAUAUUGAAAAUAAAAUUCCAAUUAAA